ensembl:lncRNA
UCCAUAAAAAACACGUCUUAAACAACAAUAGAGACAUGAGGUUGAAUAAAGAUACAGUUCAUGCAUGUAACCCUAACCCUUAAACACAAAGUAACUCAGAGAGUAUACAUAAUUCUGGAGAAGUAUGGUGUACAGCGUACACUGUAGUCUGUAGCCCACAGCAGUAUUAGGUUAUUAUGCUGAAACAAAUGAGUGUGCUGUGUGUGCAACAGCAUGACAAACAUUACCUGUCCUUUUAGCUGCUAGCUAACUGGGUAAGGCUGUCAGGGGUCUGUAGCUCUGUCACUGUUUUAGGGAACAUAUUUAGUUUUAAAGUAAGUUACAGGGCUUUCCCUGCCUUUCUAAAAACUAUCUGAUAUGCAUGUCCACAUAAUUAUGGAUUAUUAUAGUUGUGAUAUUUAAACACACACACACACACACACACACACACACACACACACACACACACACACACAUGUAUAAAAUGUUGCUUCUCCAGAAUACUGGAUAUACUUUGGCCACAAGUUUGCAUCAUGGUGCUGAUCCAGAAUCCUUCCCUUAUUAUUUAUUCCUAGUGCUUUAAUAAUAAAGUAAUGAGAAUUUUAAAAAAUAUAUAAUAAGUAGUAAAUAUAAAAUAAUGUAUUGAUCAGGAUUCAGUUUGUUUGACUAUCCACUCUGUGCAGACAGAAAUUUUAUUUAAUGUUUAAACUGCAGAGAUACAAUAAUGUUACUGCUUGAAAGUCAGCAUUUUGUCAUAUUUGAAAAUUUAAAUCUAAAUUAUUCUGUUUCUUAAUGUAUUUUCUUUAAAAUACACUGUGUGUGUGUGUGUGUGUGUGUGUGUGUGUGUGUGUGACUGAGAGAGAGAGAGAGGAGUGAGUUAAGGUGAUGUAGGGAGUGAUUUAUGUGUAUAGAUGUUUUUGUUACAGUUUUACCCUACCAUGACCGUCCCCUUCUUUUGCCCUACUAUUAUUCCGAUUUCAGUUUAUUUCCCACAGUGUUUUUAAACUGUUGCCUUAUGAUUCCAAGCGCUGUCACUAAUCUUUGCAUUUCAUUAUUAUCUAAUAACACUUGUUUAAUCAGCUACCAUCUCUCUUAUGGAAUUUUUAAUGUCUGCAGCCUCAGAUCAGCACAGCCCCGCCCUCCAGCUCUAUCAGCAGCAACAUUGUUCCCAUCAGGUGAAACAAAGUAUGUUUGCUCUACAUUGUCCCCGCCUGAUGACAGUGAUAUAGUUUGAUGUGAUUCCAUAUUAGAUUCUUGAUGAAUGUGUGUUGUUGUUGUUCAGCCUGGUUCUAUGUGCCCCUUUUUAACUUUGAGCACCCGCCCUGUCACAGCCCUUUCCUUUGUUUGACUUAAUCACGUGAAAAAUAAAAAGUCCAAGAGUGUACAACACACUGCUUCCUCUUUUUUUCUUCCUUUUUUCUAGCAAAUCAGCAUCCUUUGCUGUAAACAGUUCUAUAACAGCUUUUAGCGGCACAAGACAAAAUGCUGACAGACCCAUGUGGUUCCAUGUGCUUGUAGGUACUCAGACUAAUGCAGCAAACAGCUGAGGUGUGAAAGGUGUUGUACUGAUACUGUACUGAUGUAGUGAUGAAAACUGCAGAGCAUCUUGUUUCCCUGAGAUGACACCUUGUGUAAGCUCUCACAGGGCGUAACCCUGCUGUCUAAUCUAGAGCAGUGGAGGCGUGUUCUUUAUAGAGACGAAUCACACUUCUCCAUCUGCCAAUCCGACGGAUGAGUCUGGAUUCGGUGGCUCCACACUGGGUGAGACGAUCUGUUCUUGCAGAAUAUCAGCACCGACACUGAUAACAGGAUGAUGAUGACAGCCAGAGUCAGACCCACAAACAGCACCACAUCUGCAGCAGUUUGACAAGAACAACAAGUUUAUUUUAGACAAACACCUCCUGGUGAGUUUGAGUACCAGCCCAUCAUGUGGGCUGUAAAGGUAGCUAAGUACACAUGUACAGUAUAGUUGUAUGGUAAGUUUCUUCCAUGCUCAGUUAAAAUGGAGAAUUGGGUCAGACUGUCAUGCUUUAUGAGCAUAAAACCAUGUCUACAUGGCAUACUCACUUCUGAUUGGUUCCUAGUGGCAGAUGACAGCAAAACCAUACAAAUGAUACAAAUUCACUUAAAGUAUGGACUUCUAUAAGAUCUUCCAUCUCUCAAACUCAGUAUAUGGAUGUACCUGUAGAUGCUGUCCUCUCAGACUGCUCAGUGGCUCCAGUGAAAGUUAAUGGAGGUGUGGAGGCUGAUGGGAGGACUGCUGAAAAAGUUCAGUCAUGUGUUUUUUUCAGGUGUUUGAGGUGAACAACAGAACACAACCCAUAACAACAAUAUGACACAUGAGCAUCAUGAAAAGAGAAAAGGAAACCAAAUGUUAGCAGCUGACAGAGACAAAUACACAUUUCCUUUAAUUCUCCAGAAACAUGAAUGAAUUGUAUAGAAACUCACCUGCUGUGACAGUAAUCUCAAACUCUCUGUAUGGAUCAGUACUAAAGGAUCUGUCCACGUAACAUCUGUACCGUCCUGAGUCAGACUCCCUCAGCUGUUUAAUGGUCACAUACAGAAUACCACUUGUACCAGAUUCUUCUUCAUAUUCAGCGCUGUAUCUGUCUCUCUGAGCUCUGCUACCCCGAGUCUCAAUUAAAAUGUCAUCUCUUUCACAU